GGGGGGCACCUCCCCGGAGGCUGCGGAGAGCCCCGUUUUGUCUCAGGGGGCCACUAGGCCUUGGGUUCCCUCAUUCCUUCCCCGCCCGCGCUGCCUUGCUUCCAGGUGCUCCGGGACGCGGCGGGAACAGCGAGGUGAAGAAACUGAGGCCCAGAGGUGCUAGCAGCAGUGGUGCUUUCCUAUCUUAUCAUCUUGAGUAGUUAUUCUUCUGAAGCUGACCCUUUAUAUAUCACAGCGGCUGACAAUUGUUGGUAACGUAUAUCGUGCAAGGCACUAUGCUAAGUACUUUAUACAGUUUGGCUCCUUUCAAUUCUCUACACAGUGAAGUGUAGGUAGGUACUAUUAUAACCCCUAUUUUAAAGAAGAGG
rnacentral:lncRNA from 1 species